AUUGAACGCUGGCGGCAGGCCUAACACAUGCAAGUCGAGCGAGUGGCGGACGGGUGAGUAAUGUCUGGGAAACUGCCUGAUGGAGGGGGAUAACUACUGGAAACGGUAGCUAAUACCGCAUACCAUCAGAUGUGCCCAGAUGGGAGUAGCUAGUAGGUGGGGUAACGGCUCACCUAGGCGCCGAUCCCUAGCUGGUCUGAGAGGAUGACCAGCAAAACUGGAACUGAGACACGGUCCAGAGUCCUACGGGAGGCAGCAGUGGGGAAUAUUGCACAAUGGGCGCAAGCCUGAUACAGCCAUGCCGCGUGUGUGAAGAAGGCCUUCGGGUUGUAAAGGACUUUCAGCGGGGAGGCGUUACCCGCAGAAGAAGCACCGGCUAACUCCGUGCCAGCCGCCGCGGUAAUUC
rnacentral:rRNA from 1 species